GUGGGGAAUAUUGCGCAAUGGGCGGAAGCCUGACGCAGCGACGCCGCGUGAGGGAUGACGGCCUUCGGGUUGUAAACCUCUUUCAGUAGGGACGAAGCGGAAGUGACGGUACCUACAGAAGAAGCACCGGCCAACUACGUGCCAGCAGCCGCGGUAAUACGUAGGGUGCAAGCGUUGUCCGGAAUUAUUGGGCGUAAAGAGCUCGUAGGCGGUCUGUCGCGUCGGCUGUGAAAUCCCGAGGCUCAACCUCGGGUCUGCAGUCGAUACGGGCAAACUAGAGUGUUGCAGGGGAGACUGGAAUUCCUGGUGUAGCGGUGAAAUGCGCAGAUAUCAGGAGGAACACCGGUGGCGAAGGCGGGUCUCUGGGCAACAACUGACGCUGAGGAGCGAAAGCGUGGGGAGCGAACAGGAUUAGAAACCCUAGUAGUCC
rnacentral:rRNA from 1 species